GCACACAGGUGCUGCAUGGCGUGUCGUCAGCUCGUGUCGUGAGAUGUUGGGUUAAGUCCCGCAACGAGCGCAACCCUUGCCAUUAGUUGCUACGAAAGGGCACUCUAAUGGGACUGCCGGUGACAAACCGGAGGAAGGUGGGGAUGACGUCAAGUCCUCAUGGCCCUUAUAGGUGGGGCUACACACGUCAUACAAUGGCCGGUACAGAGGGUAGCCAACCCGCGAGGGGGAGCCAAUCCCACAAAGCCGGUCGUAGUCCGGAUCGCAGUCUGCAACUCGACUGCGUGAAGUCGGAAUCGCUAGUAAUCGCGGAUCAGCAUGUCGCGGUGAAUACGUUCCCGGGUCUU
rnacentral:rRNA from 1 species